CUAAGAAGUUAAGUUAUUAGAUUACCUAAGAAGAAGUUAAAGUUAUUAGAUUCAUGUUAUGUUUUUUUUUAUUCGGAAUUAUGUAAUCCUGUAUGCGCAAUAAAAUUCUCAAUUAGUCUAUGCGAAUGUUUUGCUUGUUUGAUUAUAUGCAAAUACACAGAGCAUUUGCCUACAGCAGUGAAUCUAUGAUAUAUUUACGGAACGGAGCAAUUUUCUUCUUAGAUAAGAAUCUCAAGGUUUCUUCAAUUCUCGUGAAGUCAUGUGUAUGAAACAUGGAUUAUCACAAAGAAAAACACUGCUUCCUUCCUUUCUCCAAAACAUGUCUGCGAGGGUUUUUCACUUAGAUUUUCAGGAGACUAACUCAACAUAACUAAUAGUAAUUUUUGACACUGCAAUUUAAGAAAAGUAAAGAGUAAGAGUAGUGGUGAGAGAAGCACUGUGGGGAAAUUUAGAGGGCUUCGGCGAGUCAAUUUCUCUCCAUCAGGAGCCAUGGAAACAACCUGCAUCUGCUUCUUCAAUUUCUAGCUCCCAGAAUAAACCAGUGGUCCAGCAACAAAGCAACCGCAAAAUUGGCUUUUUGAACGAGAAGAAGACGACGACGACGCAACUGAAAUUAUUGUUCUCCUUGCAGAUUUAGAUGGCGCUGCCAGGGGUUUCGAAAACGGUAAGAAGGAAAAGGUGAUGUCAGACAUGAAAUUACUAACGUUGAGGGCAAUGAUGGGAGCAAUGGCAGGAUUUGGAUGCCUCCAACGAGACGCUGCUUUGGCGGAAUCGGCCGUGGAUGCGAGCUGCCACCCCCAUCACCGGUGACUAAUUGCAGACCCAACCAACGCUGCUAUCCUCCACCAACAAAUGAUUAGUGCUGUGGUCUCGCAAUGAAAUUGUAAUCAGCUGCUGGUGGAAUCAAUUUUGAAGUUUAUCUAAAAAACUCAUUUAGUUUUCCUAAGUGCUCCUAGAAUGUAUUAAUAUUAUAAUUAUUC